CUAUGGCGGAGGGGAAACACCCGUUCCCAUCCCGAACACGGAAGUUAAGCCCUCCAGCGCCGAUGGUAGUUGGGGCCAGCGCCCCUGCAAGAGUAGGUCG
rnacentral:rRNA from 1 species